rnacentral:rRNA from 1 species
UAGCCGAGUAGCUAAGUGCGGAAGAGAUAACCGCUGAAAGCAUCUAAGCGGGAAACUCGUCUCAAGAUGAGUCUUGCCGGGGCCUUGAGCCCCCUGAAGAGUCGUUCGAGACCAGGACGUUGAUAGGCCGGGUGUGGAAGCGCAGUAAUGCGUUGAGCUGACCGGUACUAAUUGCUCGUGAGGCUUGACCCU